UCCACUGUAAAUUGAACAUUUUCCCAAACAUUCAACCUGCUCAAAAUUCACAGUUUAAGGUACCCAACCAGCAGCGUGCUUUAAAGCGAAUAAACAGUUUACAACAAAGGCCUCCGGCCUCAUAAAUCAAACCCUAGCAAGGGCGAUAACAGAGCAUAUCUAAGGAAUUCAAUUACAACAAAAAUGAAUGAAGGAGUCCUACGAAGGCUCAAGGCUCGUAAUCACACGAUCCGGCUCAGCUGCGGAGCUCAGCCAACUACUGGCUGGGGGGCGCAAAAUAGAAAAAUGUGAGUGGACAAAAAUAAAGUUCAGUUCAGUGUAAACCAACAUAAUAUAACCCCCACUGUUUAAUAAACCAUGCAAGAAAUCCAAAUGCAUCCCAAACCAUCAUAAUCAAAUAAAUAUUUAUAUACAUGUCAAAACCAAACCAAUACCGGAUGCCAAGUCCGAAAUCCAAACAGAACACUAUACAAACCCACAAAUUAAAUAUUAUAAGUCCCAAACUAAACUCUCAAAAGCGUACCCAUUGGCACGACCGGCAAGGAAGUAUCCUCACCGAAAAACAAGAAUGAAUAAAUAGUUAUAUAUAUAUAUAUAUGUAAAUAUAUAUAAUAUAAGAGAGAUAUAUAUAUAUAAUAUAAUUAUGACCAACACCUAGUUAUAUUGGGGAAAUAAUCCAAUCGGGGGAUUGUUUGACUAGUCACCAUGGCAGAGUCCCCAUGAAGAGUCCUCAAUUCACCAUGUAAAUAUGAAGAUAUAGUAAAUAUAUGUAAUAAGAGGUUGUUUAAUUACCUCAAGAGUUGGAUUUGACGAACAGUUCCACAAUAAGAGAAGAAGGUGUUCAACUCUGCAAGAGUUGUUCUUAGAGAAAGGUUGAGAACCUGAACAGUCAUCGAAUCCCCUGCUCCCAUUAUUAUUAUGUUCACACUUCUGAUUCAUUGUGUUAAGUGACUGGCUG
rnacentral:lncRNA from 1 species